rnacentral:rRNA from 1 species
UGGGGAAUAUUGGGCAAUGGGCGAAAGCCUGACCCAGCGACGCCGCGUGAGGGAAGACGGUCUUCGGAUUGUAAACCUCUUUCAGCAGGGAAGAAGCAAGUGACGGUACCUGCAGAAGAAGUCACGGCUAACUACGUGCCAGCAGCCGCGGUAAUACGUAGGUGGCGAGCGUUAUCCGGAAUUACUGGGUGUAAAGGGUGUGUAGGCGGGGAGGCAAGUCAGAUGUGAAAACCAAAGGCUCAACCUUUGGCUUGCAUUUGAAACUGUCUUUCUUGAGAGUGGGAGAGGUAAACGGAAUUCCUAGUGUAGUAGUGAAAUGCGUAGAUAUUAGGAGGAACACCGGUGGCGAAGGCGGUUUACUGGACCACAACUGACGCUGAGACACGAAAGCGUGGGGAGCAAACAGG